rnacentral:rRNA from 1 species
GAUGAACGCUGGCGGCGUGCCUAAUACAUGCAAGUCGAGCGAACAGACGAGGAGCUUGCUCCUCUGACGUUAGCGGCGGACGGGUGAGUAACACGUGGAUAACCUACCUAUAAGACUGGGAUAAAUUCGGGAAACCGGAGCUAAUACCGGAUAAUAUAUUGAACCGCAUGGUUCAAUAGUGAAAGACGGUUUUGCUGUCACUUAUAGAUGGAUCCGCGCCGCAUUAGCUAGUUGGUAAGGUAACGGCUUACCAAGGAAACGAUGCGUAGCCGACCUGAGAGGGUGAUCGGCCACACUGGAACUGAGACACGGUCCAGACUCCUACGGGAGGCAGCAGUAGGGAAUCGUCCGCAAUGGGCGAAAGCCUGACGGAGCAACGCCGCGUGAGUGAUGAAGGUCUUCGGAUCGUAAAACUCUGUUAUUAGUGAAGAACAAAUGUGUAAGUAACUAUGCACGUCUUGACGGUACCUAAUCAGAAAGCCACGGCUAACUACGUG